GGCAAGGGAUGCUGGUACCCCUGCCCUUGGGGUCCAGAUUCGGUAAGGAGAACCUGGCACGGAAGCUGCAGGACCCACCGACCCCAGGGACCCCUAACAUGGCUGAGAGAGAGGAGGAGGAAAGGCAAAGGAAAGAGGAGCAGCAGAGGAAGCUCCUGCAGCGAUUUCCCAGGAGGCCCCGCGGUCGGCAGCCGCAGAGCUGGAAGCAGGAGCUGGAGCCCGGCCUCUGCCUGAGGCACCCAAACUUGCCCGUGCUUAUCCACACAUCCAAGAGGAAAUCCCUACAGCAUCCAGAUCACCCAAGAGGGUCACCAACAAGGAGAGAUGAUGUGAAAUCCAGCCUCUCUGCAG
ensembl:lncRNA